rnacentral:rRNA from 1 species
AAUAGAUACCCAGGUAGUCCACCCCGUAAACGUUGGGAACUAGUUGUGGGGUCCUUUCCACGGAUUCCGUGACGCAGCUAACGCAUUAAGUUCCCCGCCUGGGGAGUACGGCCGCAAGGCUAAAACUCAAAGGAAUUGACGGGGACCCGCACAAGCGGCGGAGCGUGCGGAUUAAUUCGAUGCAACGCGAAGAACCUUACCAAGGCUUGACAUACACCAGAACACCCUAGAAAUAGGGGACUCUUUGGACACUGGUGAACAGGUGGUGCAUGGUUGUCGUCAGCUCGUGUCGUGAGAUGUUGGGUUAAGUCCCGCAACGAGCGCAACCCUCGUUCUAUGUUGCCAGCACGUAAUGGUGGGAACUCAUGGGAUACUGCCGGGGUCAACUCGGAGGAAGGUGGGGAUGACGUCAAAUCAUCAUGCCCCUUAUGUCUUGGGCUUCACGCAUGCUACAAUGGCCGGUACAAAGGGCUGCAAUACCGUGAGGUGGAGCGAAUCCCAAAAAGCCGGUCCCAGUUCGGAUUGAGGUCUGCAACUCGACCUCA